rnacentral:rRNA from 1 species
AGAGUUUGAUCCUGGCUCAGGAUGAACGCUAGCUACAGGCUUAACACAUGCAAGUCGAGGGGCAGCGGGAUUGAAGCUUGCUUCAAUUGCCGGCGACCGGCGCACGGGUGAGUAACGCGUAUCCAACCUUCCGUACACUCAGGGAUAGCCUUUCGAAAGAAAGAUUAAUACCUGAUGGUAUGAUGAGAUUGCAUGAUAGCAUCAUUAAAGAUUUAUCGGUGUACGAUGGGGAUGCGUUCCAUUAGGUAGUAGGCGGGGUAACGGCCCACCUAGCCAACGAUGGAUAGGGGUUCUGAGAGGAAGGUCCCCCACAUUGGAACUGAGACACGGUCCAAACUCCUACGGGAGGCAGCAGUGAGGAAUAUUGGUCAAUGGGCGCUAGCCUGAACCAGCCAAGUAGCGUGAAGGAUGAGGGCUCUAUGGGUCGUAAACUUCUUUUAUAUAAGAAUAAAGUGCAGUAUGUAUACUGUUUUGUAUGUAUUAUAUGUAUAAGGAUCGGCUAACUCCGUGCCAGCAGCCGCGGUAAUACGGAGGAUCCGAGCGUUAUCCGGAUUUAUUGGGUUUAAAGGGAGCGUAGGUGGACUGGUAAGUCAGUUGUGAGAGUUUGUGGCUCAACCGUAAAAUUGCAGUUGAUACUGUCAGUCUUGAGUACAGUAGAGGUGGGCGGAAUUCGUGGUGUAGCGGUGAAAUGCUUAGAUAUCACGAAGAACUCCGAUUGCGAAGGCAGCUCACUAGACUGCAACUGACACUGAUGCUCGAAAGUGUGGGUAUCAAACAGGAUUAGAUACCCUGGUAGUCCACACAGUAAACGAUGAAUACUCGCUGUUUGCGAUAUACAGUAAGCGGCCAAGCGAAAGCAUUAAGUAUUCCACCUGGGGAGUACGCCGGCAACGGUGAAACUCAAAGGAAUUGACGGAAGGGCG